CGAGGACGAACGCUGGCGGCGUGCCUAACACAUGCAAGUCGAACGGAACUGAUUGACUGAUUCCUUCGGGAUGAAGAAUUUUAGUUAGUGGCGGACGGGUGAGUAACGCGUGAGUAACCUGCCUCUGAGAGGGGAAUAACGUUCUGAAAAGAACGCUAAUACCGCAUAACACAUAUUUGCCGCAUGACAGAUAUGUCAAAGAUUUUUAUCGCUCGGAGAUGGACUCGCGUCCGAUUAGUUAGUUGGUGAGGUAACGGCUCACCAAGACCGCGAUCGGUAGCCGGACUGAGAGGUUGAACGGCCACAUUGGGACUGAGACACGGCCCAGACUCCUACGGGAGGCAGCAGUGGGGGAUAUUGCGCAAUGGGGGCAACCCUGAACCGCAGCAACGCCGCGUGAAGGAUGAAGGUUUUCGGAUUGUAAACUUCUUUUAUCAGGGACGAAGAAUGACGGUACCUGAUGAAUAAGCUCCGGCUAACUACGUGCCAGCCGCCGC
rnacentral:rRNA from 1 species